CGCUGGCGGCGUGCUUAACACAUGCAAGUCGAACGGAAAGGCCCUGCUUUUGUGGGGUGCUCGAGUGGCGAACGGGUGAGUAACACGUGAGUAACCUGCCCUUGACUUUGGGAUAACUUCAGGAAACUGGGGCUAAUACCGGAUAGGAGCUCCUGCUGCAUGGUGGGGGUUGGAAAGUUUCGGCGGUUGGGGAUGGACUCGCGGCUUAUCAGCUUGUUGGUGGGGUAGUGGCUUACCAAGGCUUUGACGGGUAGCCGGCCUGAGAGGGUGACCGGCCACAUUGGGACUGAGAUACGGCCCAGACUCCUACGGGAGGCAGCAGUGGGGAAUAUUGCACAAUGGGCGGAAGCCUGAUGCAGCAACGCCGCGUGCGGGAUGACGGCCUUCGGGUUGUAAACCGCUUUCGCCUGUGACGAAGCGUGAGUGACGGUAAUGGGUAAAGAAGCACCGGCUAACUACGUGCCAGCAGCCGCGGUGAUACGUAGGGUGCGAGCGUUGUCCGGAUUUAUUGGGCGUAAAGGGCUCGUAGGUGGUUGAUCGCGUCGGAAGUGUAAUCUUGGGGCUUAACCCUGAGCGUGCUUUCGAUACGGGUUGACUUGAGGAAGGUAGGGGAGAAUGGAAUUCCUGGUGGAGCGGUGGAAUGCGCAGAUAUCAGGAGGAACACCAGUGGCGAAGGCGGUUCUCUGGGCCUUUCCUGACGCUGAGGAGCGAAAGCGUGGGGAGCGAACAGGCUUAGAUACCCUGGUAGUCCACGCUGUAAACGGUGGGUACUAGGUGUGGGGUCCAUUCCACGGGUUCCGUGCCGUAGCUAACGCUUUAAGUACCCCGCCUGGGGAGUACGGCCGCAAGGCUAAAACUCAAAGGAAUUGACGGGGCCCCGCACAAGCGGCGGAGCAUGCGGAUUAAUUCGAUGCAACGCGUAGAACCUUACCUGGGUUUGACAUGGAUCGGGAGUGCUCAGAGAUGGGUGUGCCUCUUUUGGGGUCGGUUCACAGGUGGUGCAUGGCUGUCGUCAGCUCGUGUCGUGAGAUGUUGGGUUAAGUCCCGCAACGAGCGCAACCCUUGUUCACUGUUGCCAGCACGUUAUGGUGGGGACUCAGUGGAGACCGCCGGGGUCAACUCGGAGGAAGGUGGGGAUGACGUCAAGUCAUCAUGCCCCUUAUGUCCAGGGCUUCACGCAUGCUACAAUGGCUGGUACAGAGAGUGGCGAGCCUGUGAGGGUGAGCGAAUCUCGGAAAGCCGGUCUCAGUUCGGAUUGGGGUCUGCAACUCGACCUCAUGAAGUCGGAGUCGCUAGUAAUCGCAGAUCAGCAACGCUGCGGUGAAUACGUUCCCGGGGCUUGUACACACCGCCCGUCAAGUCAUGAAAGUUGGUAACACCCGAAGCCGGUGGCAUAACCGUUGUGGGGGAGCCGUCGAAGGUGGGACUGGUGAUU
rnacentral:rRNA from 1 species